CAGUGGCCGAGAAAUAAGCAUCCGCCAUUCAUACGAGUCGAUUCCGUUGUUUCUGUGUGUUGAGCCUGGUUCGACGACGGGACAUGGUGACGGUAAUAUUUGUGGUCCCUGAGAAAAACAUGAGCCGAUUCAACUAGCGACGUUUAAAUAAGGUGACGCGAAAAAUGCGUUGAUAGAAGAUCUUAAACUGUUGUACUGAACCGCUGCUUAACCCAUAGGCAUUAAUUAGCUCGAGUUUAGUAAUAAUAUUGCUGCAGUUUUUACCCACGCGAGAGAAAACGAGCUGGAAACCUGCUGCAAAGUGUUGAGUGUGAGAAAAUUGAUACGACGAAAAAUGCUCGUCAAAUAAUAAAAAUCUGGAUUUUUACGGCUGAAAACAGCGAACCACGAUAGUGAGAGAGAGAGCUACAGACUAUGGGGGCAUUUUUAGAUAAACCGCAAACAGACAAGUACAACGAGCAUGGGGCUGGGAACGGUUUGCGAUACGGAGUCGCCAGCAUGCAGGGCUGGCGGGUUGAAAUGGAAGAUGCUCACCGAGCCAUAACCGGUCUCGAGGGUGGUUUGUCGGAUUGGAGUUACUUUGCCGUCUUCGAUGGGCACGCAGGUGCUCUUGUGUCUGCGCACAGCGCGGAGCAUUUGCUAGAGUCGAUUAUGCAAACGGAAGAGUUUAAGGCGGAGGAUGUAAUAAAGGGUAUUCACUCAGGCUUUUUGAGAUUAGACGACCGAAUGCGAGACUUGCCCGAGAUGAUCACAGACAAGUCCGGCUCGACGGCGGUUUGUGCUUUUAUUUCUCCCAGGCAAAUAUACAUCGCCAACUGUGGAGAUUCCAGGGCUGUAUUGUGCCGGUCUGGUAAUCCAGUGUUCUCAACCAGAGACCACAAACCUGUUUUGCCUGCUGAGAAGGAGAGAAUCCAAAAAGCUGGAGGGAGCGUCAUGAUCCAACGGGUUAACGGGUCGCUCGCUGUUUCUAGAGCCUUAGGAGAUUACGAGUACAAAAAUGUCGAGGGUCGUGGCCCGUGCGAACAGCUAGUCUCACCAGAACCUGAAAUUUUCGUCAGGGAAAGAGACGACGUUAAUGACGAAUUCCUCGUUCUGGCAUGCGACGGGAUUUGGGACGUUAUGACCAAUGAGGAUCUCUGUGAUUUCAUUCGUUCUAGGCUACUCUUGACUGACGAUUUGGAAGCAGUCACCAACCAAGUCAUAGAUACCUGCCUAUAUAAGGGCAGCCGAGACAACAUGAGCAUAGUUUUGGUAACGUUACCUGGUGCCCCGAAGCCAAGCGCAGAUGCACAGAAGAAAGAAGCUGAAUUGGAAAUGGCCAUUGAAAGGAGGAUCAAAGAAAUAGUAACGCAGCAGGAGGGUCAGGACGGAAUCGAUUUCCCACAGCUGCUCCAACAUCUUAUAGACCAGGAAAUGCCCAAUCUUCCACCCGGAGGUGGUCUUCCUGCCAAGCGACCGUUCAUCGAACAGGUGUUCCGGGAAGUUUGCCCCAGCAGGGCGAACAGUAUAGAAGAAGAUGAGUCAAGGAAAGUUCGAAUUAUUCGUUGUAUAUACAACUCGAUGCGUCUGCAUUCUAAACAAAGCUGAACAUAGAAAACUGAUACAAGGCCGGCCUAAGAAUUGAGCAGUAUUCCGCAGUUACAAGGAGUCAAGGACUAGUUAGUGCAUACAAUAUGUAUACCAUUUUAUACGUGUCGUAUGGAAUAAUCUGGCGAAUGAGAGAACAGCAGAUUUGAGACAUCGUCAACAACAGCUAUGAUGGGUUUGCCGCAUUAAGUCACAAUUGUAUAGAACAAUAAUUAAUCAUUAAACCACACAUUAGUCAAUACCAAACAAUAUACCUUGCAUUACAUUACACUUGUACAACUGACAAAAAAAACCUACGAUUUUAAGAGUUUACUGUAUAAAGCGGUUUAAUAUGAUACUAGCCAAGGGUGAGAUGUGUAAAUUAAAUUAAAUCACAUAGUAGCAUAUUUAUACGAUUAAGCCAUUACCUCACAAUACCUACUUCCAUCACAAUGUAACUUAUAUUAGAGAAAAUUUUGGAUUGUAUCUCUUUGUGAAGAUCCAAUAUUAUAGAUAUAUUUUACUUUUAAAUUCAGGUAGUAGGAAAAUAAAGAAACUAAUUUUUAUUUAAGAGUAAAGCAGCUUUUAUUAUUUCGCACUGUAAUUUCUGUCAGUUUUCAUCAUACGAUUUUCGUGUAACCGCUUCAGUACAAAUGUGGGCCAGAUAAUUAUAGUUUUCUUCAAGCUGUACUUAAUUUAAAUCAUAUAUACCCGUAUAUCUCAAUAAUUUCGAAUAUUCUCAUCCGUAUUAAUUGAAUAAAAUAAUCUUGUUGUUAGAAAAUCAAUUGAGUUAUGUGAAGUAAACUAUUGAAUCGAAAUAAAGUACUUAUAACUAUAGUAUGUAUUCACAAGUAAACUGCAACCCAUCCAAGAUUUAAUGAAUCAGAACAUUUUUUACUAAUCCCUACUAUAUUUUUCUUCUAAAAAGAUAUAUUGUCACAUUGAUACUCGGCAAUCUUUUCAGUUUCCAAAUAUUCUUGUUUCCAAUUCUGAUAGCUAUUAUGGGUGAUUGGGUGAUGCAAACUAUGGCAAUUUCAUUAGUCUGUCGAUAUUUA